AUUGAACGCUGGCGGCAUGCCUUACACAUGCAAGUCGAACGGCAGCACGGGUGCUUGCACCUGGUGGCGAGUGGCGAACGGGUGAGUAAUACAUCGGAACGUACCUUAUCGUGGGGGAUAACGCAGCGAAAGCUGUGCUAAUACCGCAUACGCCCUGAGGGGGAAAGCGGGGGAUCGCAAGACCUCGCGCGAUUAGAGCGGCUGAUGCCUGAUUAGCUUGUUGGUGGGGUAAAAGCCCACCAAGGCGACGAUCAGUAGCUGGUCUGAGAGGACGAUCGGCCACACUGGGACUGAGACACGGCCCAGACUCCUACGGGGGGCAGCAGUGGGGAAUUUUGGACAAUGGGGGCAACCCUGAUCCAGCAAUGCCGCGUGAGUGAAGAAGGCCUUCGGGUUGUAAAGCUCUUUUGUCAGGGAAGAAACACCGGCUCUAACACAGUCUGGGAAUGACGGUACCUGAAGAAUAAGCACCGGCUAACUACGUGCCAGCCGCCGCGGUAA
rnacentral:rRNA from 1 species